rnacentral:rRNA from 1 species
UACGUAGGGCGCAAGCGUUAUCCGGAAUUAUUGGGCGUAAAGAGCUCGUAGGCGGUUUGUCGCGUCUGCCGUGAAAGUCCGGGGCUCAACUCCGGAUCUGCGGUGGGUACGGGCAGACUAGGAGUGUAGGGGAGACUGAAUUCCUGGUGUAGCGGUGAAAUGCGCAGAUAUCAGGAGGAACACCGAGUGGCAAGGCGGUCUCUGGGCAUUAACUGACGCUGAGGAGCGAAAGCAUGGGGAGCAACAGG